CAUUAAUGAGCUGUGUGCUGAAACCAAAGUCGGCGAGCUUUAGACGAUCCUCGGAGAGCAAAAGCACAUUCUCCGCCUUAAUGUCGCGAUGCACGUAGCCGAGACUGUGCUGUAAUUGAGAUUGGCCCACAACGAGCAGCAGCUGCUUGAAGAGCGGCGCCGCAUGAAUCUCACGCAGUGGACCUCCCUGGGUGAUGUGGUUGUAUAACUCGCCUCCGCGUAUCCAUUCCGUGACCAGAUAAACCCGUCCCAGCGUCUCGACCACCUCAAAGAGCCUGCAUUACAUUAAGAACAAGUCAGUCUUCUAUUCUCUUCUCCUCUCCUCCUUCUCCUCAUCUCCUCUUGCGUCUCUCACCUCAAUAUGUUGGGAUGAUGAACACACUCGAGUGUCGCUAUCUCGCUGGAUAGCAUCCGCAAUGCCUUGGCAUCCAGUCCAGCCCGAUCCAAGUCAA